rnacentral:rRNA from 1 species
GUGUCAGCCGCCGCGGUAAUACGAAGGGGGCUAGCGUUGCUCGGAAUUACUGGGCGUAAAGGGCGCGUAGGCGGAUGUUUAAGUCAGAGGUAAAAGCCCAGGGCUCAACCUUGGAACUGCCUUUGAUACUGGACAUCUUGAGUACGGGAGAGGUGUGUGGAACUCCGAGUGUAGAGGUGAAAUUCGUAGAUAUUCGGAAGAACACCAGUGGCGAAGGCGACACACUGGCCCGUUACUGACGCUGAGGCGCGAAAGCGUGGGGAGCAAACAGGAUUAGAUACCCCAGUAGUCC